UCCCCUCAUAGAUUUUAACGUAUAAUACAAGGAACCACCGGCAAGUGAACCCGACUCGACUGUUGUCCGCAGCAACGUAGUUGGGCAAGAUGGACUUUCUUUGCCUGCUCUCUGCUGCUGAGUAUGCGCAGUUCUCAUCCCUCCAAAGCUAUAAUACCGCACAUUCUGGGUGUUUCCGUGUUACUGAGUGUAGACUUCAAAUGAUAUGUCCAGUAACUUCACAGCCUGACAAAAUUCAGAACUCAAUAGACAAUAUUUUUAAUAGCAAUGAAUACUCACCUCCUCCUACAGUGUUUAAUUUAUCCAUUCAAUAUACAUUCCAUACCUUGCUAAAUAUUUUGGACGGGUUUCAUCCAGCUCUCAAUUCCAAGAAUAAUUUAUGGGCAACAAUUAAAAGUUUAGGAGCCUUGGUACAAAUCCUUUAACAAUCUGCUGUUAAUAUUUUGAGAGUCACAGUGUCUUUACAUUGUACAAGGUCUGAUUUUGCUCUCUGCAUAUAGUGUUCAUCAGAGGGCCUCAAACUAGCAUCUGGGUGGCGUAUACUUUUUCUCGGGUGAAAAUAUAUUCUUUCCCUGGGUGAAAGUAUAUUUUCUGCCUUGUUAAGUGACAUAAUUCCCCUCAGAGUUGUCAAACUUUUAAGUCCUUUGAAUGGUGAAAGUUUUAUGCACCAGCAUCGAACUUCCGAGCACUUUAGGAAACGUUUAACUCAGUGCAGGUCUUGAUGCGCAACAAUAUUUACACUGCAUGUUCUUGUAUUAUGGAAGUAUAAAUACAAAUUCCACCAAUUUCUGCAUGGUAGCUUCCAAAGCACUGAAAUCUAGAUAGUGAUGCACUUUUGUCAGCCAGUCAUAGUUCAUGUCAUGUGAUCUCACAGCCAAUGACAGCAGAUAUUCAGAGCAUACGAUACGUGAAGGGUCGCCAGUAGCAACAUCAAUGUUAUGUAGCACGCACACACACAAAUACAAUAAGUUAAUGGAUUUAAUAAAUAUACUGGGUGUCCCAUUCAAAAGAGACAACAACAGAGCUGUGUAGAAAUUCCACUGGCAACACUGCACGCAACAGUGUUUGUCCGCACAUCGUCGUGGCUCAAGGUCAGUGUUCAGGACAAUCAUCAUGUUUACAUGGUGCCCCAAAACCGGAUUUCAUGAACCAAUUUCCAAAUGCCGCUUCUGUGUUGUCAUGUAAACACUUCAAAAUAGGUUCUGGAAAUCCGCUUCUGGUUACCGGUUUUCCAAUUCCGCAAUCGAUUUUCGCUCCCAAGUAAACGCAACCAGUGUUGAAACGUACUGGAGCUGUCAGGUAUUGUCUCGUUUUAAAAAAAUUUCGGCUAAUAAGGACAGCGUGGCUUUUUGUACAUUGAAAUAUUAGACUACAGCUUAUUAUAUCUUGUCUAACUGAAGAGAAAUAGUAAUUGUGCUGACUAAAUCAUAAAGUAUAAAAGCUGUUUUCCAGGCAUCAUGUUUAACCGAGCUAGCAUCCGCUACAUAGCUUCACACAAACACAACAUCGAAAAUUGAUUUUCGAAAUUUGGUCAUCAUCUUUCGGAAGAUUUGUUGCGUGUAAACAUAGUGACGGUUCAGUGAUGUGGCACAGUUCCACCACUUCUGUUAUGUAAUCUCUAAGAAUACACAUUUGUGGUAUAAUGAAAAUCCACGUACAUUGGACGGCUAACCCCUGCAUUCAUAAAAGACUGGCGUGUUUUGUGCAAUAUCACAGUGUCGCAUCAUUGGGCCAAUUUUCUUCAAAUCUACUGUGACAAGUGCAGUUUACAUCAAAAUGUUUUGAGAAUUUGUGAACCUUCUGGAUGACAAACUCACCCUCGGCUGGUACCAACAGGAUGUCGGCACAUACCACAUGUCUUGAUUGACAAUGGCAGAGGUUGAUUCAUUUCUCAUUUUUCCCCAGCAGAGUGAUUUCGAAAUGGCUGUACCUCCCCCACCCCCACCCCAAGGUCACCUGAUUUAACAACACGACUUUUUCCUCUGGGGUGGUCUAAGAGGGGAGGUCUACAGGAACUAACAACACAACUUAGAAGAUUUAUACGAUAACAUCUUCUGUGAAAUUAAGGCAGUGAACAGCAGAGGUCCUGGCAGCAACACUGAAGAACCUGCAGCUGUAUUUACAAGUCGAGAGCUGUCACUUCCAGCAUCUUUUGUGAGUCAACUUUAUUUCCCCAUGAACAAGUAACAGAAAUAAUGGCAGAAUUGAAGUGCUGAGGAGGGUUGGUAUCGAUCCUGGUGUGUUUACAACAAAAGUAUUUUACACCAUCGACAAGAGCAGGGCCAAGAAAGCUAGCAGAUCAGUGUCUUACCUGCAAAUACAGGCCAGGCAGAUUCGAAGACGAGAGAAGAGAAACCUGAAGGAUGAGGAGUAUCAGUAUGGAGGAUUUUAAAAUUGAGGUAA